ensembl:lncRNA
GUGAGGCAGGCUCCCAUGUGGGGUCCACAGAGGGUUCCUCUGCACCUCGCACUGCUUAUCAGGAGCUGCCUGGAGCUGGUGACUCAGAGAAUGGCCCAGCAGGCCCUGGCUGUUGCUAGGAAACCCCAGUUCCCUGGUGGAACCCAGAACAACACUUGCAAGUUGUUCCUGAUAACUUAGAGGAAGCCAAGAGCUGUCAGAAAAAGUAGGGGGAAAAACAAAAAGCCGAAAUGAAGAAGUAAUUUUCCUUGCCCAGCACUAAAUGACAUGUAUCUAUGGGGACUAGAGACAAAAAUAGUCAGAACAGAAGUUGGCAUCAUUAACAAAACCCCUUUUGCUCUUGCUUCUUUUGACGUUGUAAAAAUGUGCUGCGUUCAGAACAUGACCCAAAAGAUACCUGUUCAAUAGACAAGCCUCCAAGUUUUCUGAAACUUUGGCAGUGGGAGGGGCUGGGGAAGUGAGGCAGGGCUUUCCUCCAGGUUCCCUGCCUCUCUGAUUUGGGCCUCUCCAGCUGUGGGCUCAGCCAUCUUUUGCAAGUGAGUGCUUCCUGGAUUGAAUACUAGAGCUUUCUCCACUACCAAAUGCUCUCUAAGCACUGUCUCUUUAAAAAUUCUCCAAAAGACUCCAGAUGGCCGCCAACAGGGGUGGUCCUGUGAAGUGAAUGCCAAGUUGCUAAAUCCAACCCUGAUAGCAACAGCUUUGAAUGUGAAGCCAGAGACGGAAUUGCAAAAGCCUUUGUGUUCUUCGCAGCGUUGUCUCUCAUCUUUCUAAAUACUGUAGAUGGAAAAGGAAGCAUGUUGAGGAGGAGCAGACACAGUUAGGCAGGGCUCCGAUACGUUUCCAAAGAGGCAUGCCUCCAGUGCCAUGCUGCCAAGCUAGGGCUGCUGGUGGGAAGCCCCAUCGGCUUUGGGCUCAAACCACAAGGCAGGUCCCCCUCUUGCCAGCAGCCCCCACCUUCCUCUCUGACCUCUGUGUGGGCUGAGACAGGUCCAGAGAUAACAUUUAAAAGUUAAAAAAAAAAAAUCACAUGUUCUUUUCACUUUUGCUUCAUCAGCCAUCAAGGCUAAUUGUAAGCUGCUGGAUACAAAAAGAAUGACAGCCAAGCAACAUAUAUUAACAAGGUCUGGCUAAAGCAAAACUAGGCUGAGUGUGGACUUUGUUUUCAGUCCUCCUGGUCCCCUCUUUGACCCUCUCAUGAACCUCCAAGGCCCUCCACUCUUCCCUUCCCCUCUUGACUUCUAUUCUGUAUGAUUCUGCUCCUCUUCACCUUCAGCUAAACUCACUAAGGUAUGAGAUGGAAGCGAUUUAAGGGCUCACAGGUUUAAAUAAGGGGCAUUUGAAGACCAAAAACCCUCCAAAGCUUGACUAAAUGAAGCUCUAAUAAUGAACUGUGGAGGGUAUUGGAGAAUGGAGGGAGAAUCACUAAGAAACAGGAACUUAUCUGGAAUUUUUUAUGUUGUACCUCAUAGGUGGCCACUAAUUUGUCUCCUGCCAAGGUUGAAGCUUAUGCUGUAUACUCAUAAUACUGACAGAGGCUCACGCCUUAGGAACCAUCACUCAUAUUUGUAG